UGGUUUCUUCAUACAAAUGGCACACCCAUCACAGUCUCUUUAAACCUCCACAUAAAGGGACGUGUCUCCAUAGGGGUGGAAAUUAGCCUACAAAAAGGUAGAGCACCAGACAAGACUUUUGCUGCUGUCGGAGAGAAGUGACCAAAGUGAAGGCAAUUUAGGCUUACCAGGAAUAACUGCCCUCGGGCCUGAUGAAGAACCACCAGUAAACAUAUAAUAGGAUGGCUAGAUUGCUGAUGGAGGCAUCUGACCGAGAUUAUGUGACACCAUGGGAUAAUGUGUCCAAGCAACCCUUGCUGACCGAAGCAUUGUUUCCCCUCCCAUAAAAAUUCCUUUGCACCUUUAAAGAAACAAGAAGACAACAUCAUUGGAAGCAGUUAUUAACAUUUAUUUCUCAACAAACAAACAUGAAAGUGAUAUGAAAGCAGUGAUAUGAAAGCAAGACAAAUGUGCCACAGAAGCCCACCAACCUUGCAAAGGCCGACUAGGUCCUGAGACUCUAUGAGCAUGCAUGGGAUGAGUUCCACUUUCAAACCGUUCAGCCAUUUUGCAAGGAAGGCAGCCAUGUCUGUCCCCUCUUCUUACUCUGGGACCUCAAGGUAAAGCUGCAAAACUGAGGCAGUUUACUUUAGCUAUUUAACUGCACUUUUCCCACCAAUUUUGGUUACUUUUUGUUUUCCGUACUUUUUGUUUUUGCUAUAUGUUUAGAAAGGUUGAGCCAUUAAAGGGCUCAAAUCUUGGAGCAAACUUUUAAAAACAUAA